CAAAGAAACAACCAUUUGGUGCAAAAUUUUCAAGGCUUGUCUACCCAAGAGUUUUGUCAGCACUAAGCAUACACCAAGCAGCGGGUGUUGCCAGCACUAUUAAUAUCUAGCAGCCAAAUAGCCAUGUAAAGUCACAUGCUAACGUGAGAUAAAAUAAGAUAAAGUUAAUAUGUGCAUCGCAUGUUCCAUCAAUUAUUUUGCCUUCUGAACAUGCCUCUAAAAAUACAUGUUUGAGAGUACCUGAUCAGACCGCAUGGCUGGCAAAUAAUAAUAUACAAAGGGAACAUGCAUGAGAAUUCAUUUGUGUAGACGAGUAAUUUGUUAAUGAUAAUUCCAAGUUAAGGUAAAUGAAAUUAAAGUGGUGAGAUCUGAUUCUCUUUGAUACAAAAAGUAUUUGAUUCUUCCAUGUACAAAAGGUAUGUGAUUCUAAUUCUUUAACACAAGAUGAAAAGAGAUAGCUUGUGCAUGACAUGUUCCCCAGGUUGUUUUGCCCUCUUAACAUAUACCUCCAUACAUGUCUGAGAGCAACUGAUUAAAACAAUAGUGGAUGGUAAUAAACACAAGGAACAUGCAUAAGAAUUUAUACAUGUAGACAUGUACUUUGUUAACAAUACAUCUGACUUAAGGUACACGAGAUUAAAGUAAUGGGAUCUGAUCCUUUUCAAUAUAAAAGGUAACUGAUUCUUUUAGAUACAAAAGGUAUGCAUAACUUAUUACUGUUAAACUAUUUCUGAAUUUUCUUUUUUGAUAUAUGUAAGAUGAUUCAGAAAACAAGAGACAGAUUUGCUAAGGGCCCACUCGAUAUUGCUUUUGGCUUCAAAACCCAAGAAGAAAAAUGAGCCUAACUGAACAACAUAUAUUAUGAAACCAUUUGUGUUUUGAAAUUGAUUGAAAAAUCUUUAGAGAUUUUGAUAGAAAAUAUUUAUUACUUUCAAAUAAGAGGGAAAACAAGAACAAGAAAUAGCAGAAGUUUUGUGCAAAUGCUAUCUUGAACAUUAAUCUCCAUUUGUUAGUUCACUAAUUUGUAGAGGAAAUAUCACACAGAAAUAAGAACAAUGCCAAAUCAUACAAAGAAAUCAUCUAAUUGAUAUGCUAUUUAUUUUAAUCAACUAGCAAUUUGUCAUAGUGGUGGUAGGAAAUCGUCAAAUUUCAGUUUUCUUCCUCUUUCUUUCAGAUGUCUGUAGACCAAUGAUGGACUAGACAGCCCAUUAAUAAGCAACUAGAUAUCACUUCUGUUAUUUUAAUUUAAGAGUGUGAUAAUGUUAGGCCAAAAAAAAGGAAACCUGUCAGAUGUAUGGGUUAACUGUAAUAUGAACAAUAAGUUACAGACAUAGCAAUGAUUAAGCUAUAAUUUUAGGUAUAUGCUGUUGAGUUAUUUUUGGAUAUGAUCAAGAAUAAAAGCUCCCAAAGAGAUGAACUAGUCUGAUCAUUUAAAUACAACUAGUCCAAAAUCAUAUAAAUUUAUACUUGAUCAAGGCUAUGAUUUCAGACUGUCACAUAUAGCAUUAAUGGAAUAUCUGAGGAGGCAACUAUUUGGUGUCAGAUCUAAUUACCCUGUUCAUUGAAGAUCAACAUGGAAGCCAUCUUUCUUGAUUUCUAUAGAUAACCAUGUUAGUACAUAUAUUUGUAUAUAUGCAGAUCGAGAGGCUUUUGGAGUGCAUUUGGCUGGUGUAGAAAUAUAGCUUGCACGAUUGUUGUGGAGAAUGUUUGAAAGUACUAUAAGGGGAACUGAGGAAUCCAAGAGGUAGCCUAAUGCCUUGGUGGGCCGGUAGGUCGGUGCCAGGUCAAGGCAACCCAAAAAUGAUAAAUUCAGAAAAUAAUAAACACAAGUAGAAAUCUACAGUACCCAAAAAAUUUAAACAUAUCAAAUAAGAUGUAAGCUAAGGGAAAUACCAACUCGACAGCAUUCAAUAAUACAUAAAUCAGUUUCAUCAUCUACAUCAAACAAGAUGCAAAACAUUAAGGCAGGCACUAGGCAGCCAUUUCCCAAAAUAUUAAUCAUGAUAUUUCAAUACCAUUUUAUUAGAAUGUCAAGCUAUUCCAAAUUUGAUAACAUCAAGACUUUGAAGCCAGUAUCUUCUAAAUAGGUUGCUGCACUCAUUUAGAAAUCCUGAUCCACAUAAUCACCAGCCCUGCUUCCAAGCCCCUUUUUAUUAAACGUCAUUCAUUGUUACUGUUUUACAACAACUAUUCUUGCUCCAGUUGAUGUUGUAUUAUUUACUGCCUUAUCCAUGUGAUGAAAACUUGUGUCAUUCAAUUCUUAUAAUUACCAAGCCAGCCAAAGACUUCAGCUUGUUAUUUUUCUGGCUGGAAUUGUUUAUUAAUUGAAGAUGGUUUUUCAUGAACAAAUUAUCUCAAGCAUCUAUGAAUGCACAUAUUAAUUCAAUUAUUAAAUGCUAGUUAGUCUUACUAGUAGUCUAACCAUGAGAAAAUACAGUACAUGUACUUGCAAGUGAUGUUCUACUCCAUAUCCUUUUACGCACAUUAGCAAAUAUGUUUGAAUGAUCUUAUCUUUAUUGGCCAAAUAAUAUCUAUUUUGAUUUUAUCAGAAGUCACAAAAUACUACCCAUGCAGGCUCUCAAAGCCAUGUAGUAUUUUCAAUAUCUGUACUUUCCGUAUUUACUAGUUGAUGCCAAAUAUAUUUUUCGACAAGUAUGUGCAUGAAUACUUGUUGUGAUAGAGAUAGGAAAUCUGGCAAUUGCCAUUAAAAAGGAUUGCUCAUCUACCACUCAGUUGCAGACAUGGAGGGGUUUCAUUUGAUAAGAAAAAUGAUGACUGCAAUGUUGUCAAUAAUUCUAGUUAUCAACAAGAUGCUGGCAUUGUUAAUACAAAUUUGUUAAUGACAUGUGUACAAUAGUGAUAUCGAUUGCUUGUUUCAUGAAAGAGCUAUCAGACAACUAGGUUGAUAUUUCAUGAUCUUUUGUGAUGAUAACAGCAAAUUUAUAAAUUAGCUAGGACUCAAGGAUAAGCAAGUAAAGAAGCUCAUAUAAGAAAAAGUUUCUAUGGUUUGUAAUCCUUGUCACCUAUUAGGAAGCUGCUUCAUAGAAAUGAAAAAGGAAAAACAAAAAAAAAGGAAAAAUCUCUCACCUACUAAUGGGGACAUGCAAUCAAGACUCCAAAUAUAUCAAAAUGUACUUAAUUCAAGAAUAAAUGGACAUUUUAUAGGAUUUUAAAACCAAGAUAUACAAGUCUCCAAUAUGAAAUACAAAUCAUAUCCUUUGAUUGGAGAAGAGGCAGUGCAAAUUGAAUGCAACUCCAAUUUGAUCAUAACAAACACCAAUGCCACAUUAACAAUGACCAUCAAGAAAGCAUAAAAGCAUACAGCCAAGUAAAAUAUUGCAAUAGGCAAGGCAGGGGUGUCAAUAUUGAACCUAGUCAAUGUUUUAAAUGUCGUGGGAUAGAGGUGUCUGAUAUCUCUAUGGAAUGGGAUGCCUCGUUGUUCCGUCCCAUCUUGACAAUAGUCCCUGUCAUGCAUUCUGAUAGAUAUUCUCCAUUUCCCUCUCCUUUUUUCUUUUUUUCUUGUUUUCUUUCCUACUUUUCUUUCUUUUUCUUCUAUCUUUCUUUUGUUUCUUUUUUUCUUAUCCCUUUCUUUCUUUCUCUUUCUUCUCCUUUCUUUCUUCCUUCUUUCCUUCCAUUCUUUUUCUUCUCCAUUUCUUUUUUCUUUCAUUUUUCUUUUUCUUUCCUUUCACUUUUUCCGUUUUUUUAAUCUUCCUUUCUUUCUUUCCUCUUUCUUUUUCUCUCUCCACAUUGAUGGAUUUCGAAGCUCCGAUCCUAUUUUCUCACAAGAACGGGACGGGAUGACUGGGACACCCUCCGUCCUGUUAGGAUACAGAACUUUGAACCUAGUAUUGGUGAUCCACCUAAGUAUGCUGACACAUCAAAAUAUCAAACCAUGGGACUGCAGUUAAUUCUAAGCAAAUAUCCUCGGAAAAGCUACCAAUGGUUCAAGCUUAUCUUUAGGCACCACUUCCUCUAUUGUCCACUUCAUUGUCGUUGAUCUGAAAGUUACGACACACAACCACUUGUAUGGUACUACAAUAAGACCUGUCUGAUUGCAAGUUCCAUUGAAGAGGCCAUGGACUAUGAUUUCUUGAAUCGCAAGGCAAAAACUCAAAAAAGUAAUAACUGAACAAUAUUCCAAUCCAACUCAAUUUGUUGUCUGCUCUGCAGCUUUUCUUUUGGCAAUACUUAAGUGGAAGUACUCUAAGUUGCAGACUAAUAUUAAACAUCCCAACAGACCUACAUGCCAUACUAUGUUGCAGCAAUCUAGUCAAAGCCAUUUUCAUGAGUUCUUAAUCUCUAGAUCCAUAGACAAAAUGAGAUAACAAUUUCUUUAUUUAAUGUGCCAACAGAACUGAGGAAAUUGAAGUGCCAGUAGGCAAUGACAGCAUCAUUUAUUGCAGUAGUUCACCUUGUCAUCCGAAGAGGGC
rnacentral:lncRNA from 1 species